UUAUCGUAAAUUAUCCGUGUAGAGUUGCUUCGCGCUAGUAAUCGAAGUGUCGCUCAUGCGGUGUAUUCGGUAAGCUAUGGUCUCUAUGAACAUACCUUACUUAGGCUAAGCCAUAUUUCUCGCAGUCAUUUGCUCCAUGCGAGACGAUGAUGGCCGUCAGUGUUGCUCUCAGAUGCGGCUUCGAGCAUGUGUUGCUUGUUGGUGAUAUAGUUUGAGGCCGGCGUCGACAGCUAGUGAGAGUGAUGCGAGGUGGUUAUCACUAUU
rnacentral:misc_RNA from 1 species